CGGGAUGUGGCGCAGUAGGUAGCGCGCCGAUCUGGGGGACCGGAGAUCGUGGGUUCGAGCCCCGCCAUCCUGU
rnacentral:tRNA from 1 species